AUAAUUGCUUCAGCAGUAUAUAUGCUAAGAUGGGAACAACAAAAGAUUAGCAUGCCCUUCUAGAAGUAUGACACAUAAAUUUAUGACGCUAUUCAUAUUUUU